UGGGGAAUUUUGGACAAUGGGGGCAACCCUGAUCCAGCCAUGCCGCGUGAGUGAAGAAGGCCUUCGGGUUGUAAAGCUCUUUCGGCGGGGACGAAACGGUUCAUGCCAACACCAUGAACUAAUGACAGUACUACCAGAAGAAGCACCGGCUAACUACGUGCCAGCAGCCGCGGUAAUACGUAGGGUGCAGGCGUUAAUCGGAAUUACUGGGCGUAAAGCGUGCGCAGGCGGCUCCUUAAGUCAGAUGUGAAAUCCCCGGGCUUAACCUGGGAACUGCGUUUGAAACUGAGGGGCUCGAGUGUGGAAGAGGGGGGUGGAAUUCCAGGUGUAGCAGUGAAAUGCGUAGAGAUCUGGAGGAACACCGAUGGCGAAGGCAGCCCCCUGGGCUAACACUGACGCUCAUGCACGAAAGCGUGGGGAGCAAAC
rnacentral:rRNA from 1 species